GACGAACGCUGGCGGCGUGCUUAACACAUGCAAGUCGAACGGUGAAGGGGCCUGCUUUUGUGGGCCCUGGAUGAGUGGCGAACGGGUGAGUAACACGUGAGUAACCUGCCCCCUUCUUCUGGAUAACCGCAUGAAAGUGUGGCUAAUACGGGAUAUUCUGGGUCUGUCGCAUGAUGGGUCUGGGAAAGAUUGCGCCUUUGGGUGUUUUUGGUGGGGGAUGGGCUCGCGGCCUAUCAGCUUGUUGGUGGGGUGAUGGCCUACCAAGGCGGUGACGGGUAGCCGGCCUGAGAGGGUGGACGGUCACACGGGGACUGAGACACGGCCCAGACUCCUACGGGAGGCAGCAGUGGGGAAUAUUGCACAAUGGGCGCAAGCCUGAUGCAGCGACGCCGCGUGAGGGAUGGAGGCCUUCGGGUUGUAAACCUCUUUCGCCAGUGAAGCAGGCCUGCUCCUUGUGGGUGGGUUGACGGUAGCUGGAUAAGAAGCGCCGGCUAACUACGUG
rnacentral:rRNA from 1 species